GUGAUGUGAAGCGGCUGCAGGCUGAGCUAUGGCGAAGAUGGGAAGAGCUGA
rnacentral:snoRNA from 1 species